GUGCCAAGGAACUGACAGAUUAACUGCUACGUCAUUAACAUUCAUUCCGUUUCAUUAUAAAGGCCUUCAUAGAGUUGGGCUGUCACAUAAGGUAAAAGGUUUGCACUGUGACAGAUGUGACCUGGACUAACUUAUGAGACACUGAAAGAGUUUAAAACAUUGAGAGCAGAAAUAGGGGAGGAAUUCAUAACUGUUCAUCUUAUAUAUUAUCAUUUGGAUUAAAAAAAAAAAGAUGGAUGUUGGAAAGAUAGCAUCGAUUCUCCUGAUUCUGAUUGUGGCACAAACAACAGCUCAAACAACGACAACUCCCACACCGACAACAACUCCCGCGGUGACAACAACAGCGGCACCUACAACAACUGUGGCACCUACAACAACUCCGGC